GAUGAACGCUGGCGGCGUGCCUAAUACAUGCAAGUCGAGCGAACAGACGAGGAGCUUGCUCCUCUGACGUUAGCGGCGGACGGGCGAGUAACAUGUGGAUAACCUACCUAUAAGACUGGGAUAACUUCGGGAAACCGGAGCUAAUACUGGAUAAUAUAUUGAACCGCAUGGUUCAAUAGUGAAAGACGGUUUUGCUGACUCUUAUAGAUGGAUCCGCGCCGCAUUAGCUAGUUGGUAAGGUAACGGCUUACCAAGGCAACGAUGCGUAGCCGACCUGAGAGGGUGAUCGGCCACACUGGAACUGAGACACGGUCCAGACUCCUACGGGAGGCAGCAGUAGGGAAUCUUCCGCAAUGGGCGAAAGCCUGACAGAGCAAUGCCGCGUGAGUGAUGAAGGUCUUCGGAUCGUAAAGCUCUGUUAUUGGGGAAGAACAAAUGUCUGAGAAACUAUGCACGUCUUGACGGUACCUAAUCAAAAAGCCACGGCUAACUACGUG
rnacentral:rRNA from 1 species